AGAUCGACUCUGUCGAAUAAAAUUCUAGGUAGAGUUAUGAUAAUGACAUUUUCUAUCUAUGUGUCUUGACCAAGUCACGUGCCAGCAGUCGCGGUAAUACGUGGAAGACUAGUGUUAUUCAUCUUUAAUAGGUUUAAAGGGUACUUAGACGGUUAAUCAAGCCCAAAAAGGGGACUAAUUUACUAGAGUUUUAUGUGAGGGGGUAUAUAAGUACCAGUGGAGUAGAGAUGAAAUUCUGUCAUACCAAUUAGGGAAACAGGUAAAGGCGAAGGCGACUUUUUAUGUAUAAACUGACGUUAAAGGACGAAGGCUCGGGUUAAUAAACAGGAUUAGAUACCCCAGUAGUCUGAGCAGACAAUGAUGAAUGUCAUAGAAUGGAUUUAAUUUUUCUAUAAAUGAAAGUGUAAGCAUUCCACCUCAAGAGUAAUUUGGCAACAUAGAAACUGAAAUCAUUAGACCGUUUCUGAAACCAGUUGUGAAGUAUGUUGUUUAAUUUGAUGGUCCGCAAAAAACCUUACCACAGUUUGAAUAUUUAUAUUUUUACAAGCGUUGCACGGCUGUCUUUAGUUAAUGUCGUGAGAUUUUGGUUAGUUCCAUUAAAUUAACGUGAACCCUUACUUUAUUUAUUAUAAAGUAGUUCCCCGCUAUAUUGGAUAUGAUAAAAGGGAUUAAGACAAGUCAUCAUGACCUUAAUACUGUGGGCUAA
rnacentral:rRNA from 1 species